CGUUUCAAAUUCGUUAAAGUGCCCCUGACACAAAAAUUGAUUUUUUGUGUAUUGAAAGUACACAUUAUGUGGAGUGUUUUGGUGAAAGAAUUUUUUGAUUUCAUUAAAAAGGAAAAAUUUUAGAGCGGUUUAAACACAUAAAUUUUUGGCACAUGGACGUCGGCUACAGGAGUCUGGGGAUAGCAUUUUUUGUGACGUCACGCAAGUGAGUCAAAUCUUGACGAUUUGUUAGACUUUUGUCAGUUUUGAUCAGCUCAAAGGUUUUGAUCGCUGAACGGCUGAAGUGUUUUUAUAUUCUAAGUUCUAUCAUGGUUCUAUAAAGUAUCAUGUCGACAACAGAAUCCGACAGUAGCGAUCAAUCCGAUGAUUCCAGUGCGAACUUUAUACCUGGUUAAUAUAUGUUGUGUUGGAAGAUGCUGAUCAAUAACACGCCAGGUCCCUAGUAUUAUCAUUAAAACCACCAAAUCUACACGACGCGGACGUGACGAAAAACUGCCGCUAUUAUCACAAUUUCACUUCACGAGUAAAACUAUGGAUUGUUGUUGGUAAACAAAGCUAGGGGACACGAGAAAAAUAAAAUAAAACUAGUCUCCCAUUAUUAGCGACUGUUUUUAGUCUGCGUCUCAGAUUUGGCGCAUCUUGCCUGGCCCUCUGCUAACGUAGACGUUCUGUGGCUUUGCAAAGUUUAUAUCUCCGGUUCGGUGCAUGCUAUGAAGACAAAAAUACUACGACUCGAUUCAGUGAAACAAAAUCUCCUAAUUCCCAGCGAUAGUUUUAGACUUUUAGUCAGAUACAGGCUAUAGUUUUAGUCAGAUGGUAUAGCUAUUUAUGACCUUUGUCUUUGAUAGGUCAAGCGGUGUCAUAAUUCAUUAUAUUACUCAAUUUAUAGUCUCGAACAAUGUAAACUAGUCAUACUUUCGCCGAACAUAAAUUCGGCCCCUUUGGAAAUAUCUUUUUCGUAAUAGUCUUAUUCGAACCGGAAUCGAAAACACUAUUUAGAGUGUUAUUUUCAAGCUUGUGUCUUCAGAUUUGCAUCUUUCAUUUCGGUAUUACAAAAUAUUUAUAUUAUUAGCGGGCCCGUAAAACCGAAAUUGAAUCAUCAAAACAAAGCAAAUUAUCGUCAGUCUUUAAUAGCUUCGCCUUCGGAUAGUUAGGCUUGCCGAGCCCCGUCAACGAAAGACACAAAAAGAAUCGCCUCUCGUAAUCCUCUGGUCAAAA